rnacentral:rRNA from 1 species
UACGUAGGUGGCAAGCGUUGUCCGGAAUUAUUGGGCGUAAAGGGCUCGCAGGCGGUCUUCUAAGUCUGAUGUGAAAUCUUGCGACUUAACCGUAAGCGGUCAUUGGAAACUGGAGGACUUGAGUACAGAAGAGGAGAGUGGAAUUCCACGUGUAGCGGUGAAAUGCGUAGAGAUGUGGAGGAACACCAGUGGCGAAGGCGACUCUCUGGUCUGUAACUGACGCUGAGGAGCGAAAGCGUGGGGAGCAAACAGG